rnacentral:rRNA from 1 species
GACGAACGCUGGCGGCGUGCUUAACACAUGCAAGUCGAACGAAGUGGCGGACGGGUGAGUAACGCGUAAUCAACCUGCCCUUCCGAGGGGGACACCAGUUGGAAACGACUGCUAAUACCGCAUACUGAAGGAGGGGAUUGCGUCUGAUUAGGUAGUGGGGGGGGUAACGGCCCACCAAGGCGAGGAUCAGGCGCCGGUCUGGGAGGGUGAACGGCCAAAAUGGGACGGAGACACGGCCCAGAAUCCGACGGGAGGCAGCAGUGGGGAAGCUUCCGAAAUGGACGAAAGUCUGACGGAGCAACGCCGCGUGGGUGAUGACGGCCUUCGGGGUGUAAAGCUCUGUUAAUCGGGACGCGGUACCGGAAUAGAAAGCCACGGCUAACUACGUGCCAGCAGCCGCGGUAAUAC